CCCAAAAUGAGGACUGUAGCUGGUAUAGCUGAGGGCAAUUUUUGGGCCGCGAGCAUAAUGCUGUAUGGUGGCUUAGCCUACUUCAUAAGAGACUGGAGGAUUCUCCAGACAGCAGUGACCCUGCCCGCACUACUCAUCCUGCCUGUUUUAUGUUUUAUAGAUGAGUCUCCGCGAUGGUUGUUCAUUAACGGCAAACCUCAGGAAGCCCUCCUAGUUCUCGGCAAGGUGGCUCAAUGGCAUAAUGUUGAAGUUCCACCUGAGGCAGCGAUGACAGAACUGGUUGACGAACUGCAGGAAACACGGGCUUCCACGACCCAGCAACAGCUGUCCUUGUGGGUUCUCUUCAAAUCCAUUAUACAUGGAGCCUUGAUGUUGUUCAGG